rnacentral:tRNA from 1 species
GGGCGCAUAGCUCAGCUGGUUAGAGCGCUGUGUUCACAUCGCAGAGGUCCCUGGUUCGAGUCCAGGUGCGCCCA